AGAGAGAGAGAGAGAGAGAGAGAGAGAGAGAGAGAGAGCUUACUUCUUGGUGCUUACAGAGAGUUUCAGAACGUAAAGCUUCCUUGAUCUAGUGAAGAAGUUGCAACUCCCAUGCAACUGUUCUUCAUUGGGAGACUUGUCCCAUCGGCUUUAAUCUCUUCUUUUUUUUUGGUCAACAUCGGCUUUAAUCUUGGGGGUGAGGCAGUUGGAGGAAUCGCCCAUAGAUAGAACAAAUCAUUUCAACAUAAUUCCAGAAUAGGACGGGCUGCCAUUUCGUCUAUUUAAUGUUCGAUUUUUUCUCCGAACUGCGACUCACAGUGCUACCAUCAAUGAGGCCAGCUAUCCCGUAGGCACACAAACGGGCAGGACGGUUGGCAUUAAAAAGCCAAAUUAAGUACGGCACUGGUGGGACCAGGGGCAGUAGCGGCCAUUGGGGUCUACGGCGAACUCAUGGAACGGGCCUUUUUC
rnacentral:lncRNA from 1 species